CAGAUGAGGAUGGGUUCCCUUCUGAGUCGGGUUCCUCUCAAGGUGCAGAGAGAACCAUGUGUUUGAAAUUCAGCUUGGACCUCGUACACAAAUUGCUGAAGUCUGAUACGCUACAGGAGGAGCUACAGACGAGGGGAGAGAGCUUCACCUCGAAGCUGCAGUAUCAGCGGUCAGCCACAGAGAACGUGUUCAUGACUUUUCAGCUGGACUGCCCCGAG